GGCCGUAGCUCAGCAGUAGAGCAUCUGGCUUUGCGUGCAGAAGGUUCCAGGUUCUAUUCCAGGUAGGGUUG